UGGGGAAUAUUGGACAAUGGGCGCAAGCCUGAUCCAGCAAUACCGCGUGUGUGAAGAAGGCCUGAGGGUUGUAAAGCACUUUCGGCAGGGAGGAAGUGUAUAUAGCUAAUACCUAUAUAUAUUGACGCUACCUGCAGAAGAAGCACCGGCUAACUCUGUGCCAGCAGCCGCGGUAAUACAGAGGGUGCAAGCGUUAAUCGGAAUUACUGGGCGUAAAGCGUGCGUAGGCGGAUAAAUAAGUCAGAUGUGAAAGCCCUGGGCUCAACCUAGGAACUGCAUCUGAAACUGUUUAUCUAGAGUAUGGUAGAGGAUGGCGGAAUUUCCGGUGUAGCGGUGAAAUGCGUAGAUAUCGGAAGGAACACCAGUGGCGAAGGCGGCCAUCUGGGCCAAUACUGACGCU
rnacentral:rRNA from 1 species